UACGAUCUGUUCCUGUGUUUUUAACUUUCAGAACCUCUACUUGGCAGGCACUUACGAACUUCAAUUUCGACAAAAUACCAUCGCCCUGCUGGACUUUGAGAUCUCCUUUGCAUACGGUAUUUUCGGUUAUGGCCAUUCACAUCAGCUACAAAAUCGACAAAAGAAGAUUAAAGACAUCGUGAGUCACUCGUACCUUUACCGGUCAGAGCCACCACCUAGCAGGAAGCAAUCAGAAAGGUAUACGGGCAGGCGCGGAUCCAAGAGGCAUCCGCGAAUUGGGCAAAAAAAA